AUUGAACGCUGGCGGCAUGCCUUACACAUGCAAGUCGAACGGCAGCACGGGAGCAAUCCUGGUGGCGAGUGGCGAACGGGUGAGUAAUAUAUCGGAACGUGCCCAGUAGUGGGGGAUAGCCCGGCGAAAGCCGGAUUAAUACCGCAUGAGACCUGAGGGUGAAAGCGGGGGAUCGCAAGACCUCGCGCUAUUGGAGCGGCCGAUAUCAGAUUAGCUAGUUGGUGGGGUAAAGGCCUACCAAGGCGACGAUCUGUAGUUGGUCUGAGAGGACGACCAGCCACACUGGGACUGAGACACGGCCCAGACUCCUACGGGAGGCAGCAGUGGGGAAUUUUGGACAAUGGGCGCAAGCCUGAUCCAGCAAUGCCGCGUGCAGGAAGAAGGCCUUCGGGUUGUAAACUGCUUUUGUCAGGGAAGAAAUCCCUUGGGAUAAUACCUCGGGGGGAUGACGGUACCUGAAGAAUAAGCACCGGCUAACUACGUGCCAGCCGCCGCAGUAAAAC
rnacentral:rRNA from 1 species